rnacentral:rRNA from 1 species
UACGAAGGGGGCUAGCGUUGUUCGGAAUUACUGGGCGUAAAGCGCACGUAGGCGGCUUUCUAAGUCAGGGGUGAAAUCCUGGAGCUCAACUCCAGAACUGCCUUUGAUACUGGGAAGCUCGAGUCCGGAAGAGGUGAGUGGAACUGCGAGUGUAGAGGUGAAAUUCGUAGAUAUUCGCAAGAACACCAGUGGCGAAGGCGGCUCACUGGUCCGGUACUGACGCUGAGGUGCGAAAGCGUGGGGAGCAAACAGG